rnacentral:lncRNA from 1 species
GCGACCCCCGGGCGACCCCGGCAUCGCCUGGCUGCGCCGUCCCGGCGGGCCGGCCCUCUCCACGCCCUCUCCUGGGGUUUGCGGUGGGCACAGCUCCCUCCAGACUGGGUCUCUCCACUAGCCUCCUCCCCAACUGCAACGUGGGAACCAGAGCUAUCCGAGUCACGAGCCCCAAGUGCACACAAAGCCCCCAACGGGGCCACGGCGCCUCCACGCCUCGCUACCUCCAGCUCCAGGAGCGCAGAACGCAGCGCCCUGGGUCACCGCGUCUGCCCUGCGGAGCAGCCCCACUGAGGGGAAGCCUCGGGCAGGAGAGUUACACCUGCCAUCUAGCAAAACAGACCUCACCCAAGGUCAAUGAUGGCUGCUAACCUUGGGGUUGAUGGGGGAAGGUGGAUGCAGCAGACCCCAGGGAAAACAGAGCACCGUGAGGAGGAGCCAGAGGAGGCCGGAGGCCCUUGUCUCAGACAUCCAGCUCUGAGAGUGAAAUGUUGCUUCCUAAUGGACUUUAAAUUACCAACAUCGCUAAACUCUCUCUUAAUAGACUUGUAAAGAUUUGCUUGCUACCUUUUUCCUCCUUCAUGUAGAAUUUGUAAUCAAGAGCCCAAUUUUGUCAUUUGGAAAUACUAAUUAUCUAAUCACGGCAUGCUGUAUAACGUACUUGUCUGCCCAAUUAGCUAGGACAAUUAUUAAAAUUCAGAGGCCUAAUUAUGUCUCAAUUUAAUGCUGGCAAACUUGCAUACAGAGCAGUAAUUAAAAUCCUCUCUUUCCCUCUGCCUUUAGGGCAGGGGAUGAUUAGGCCCUGUCAGGGGGUGUACUGAAC